GGGGGUCCCUCAGCGGCCCCGCGGCCGAGCCCCUUCAGUCGCCCCGCAGAGUCUAGCGGUGGUGCCCGUCGGUCGCCCUUGCGGAGCCGGGGGCGGCCCUUCGGCGGGGUGCGGAGCUCCUCGGUAGCCCCGCGGCACGGAGCCCGUCGGUAGCCCGGCGGAGGCCGUCGUUGGCCGCGCGGGGAGGAGGACUCUUGCAUGUGAGUUAAAUUAAUUUCUUGAGAGAAACCUUCAUAAAGGGCUAAAUAAACAAGAUCUGCAUAUACAGAAAGUUCUGCACUUGAGACACAGCUAAACUCGUCUGUCUGGAAAUCUGAAGACUUUUAUAGCAAACCCUCCAGUGUCAAAAUGAACACAGAUAGCGGUGGGUGCGCUCGCAAACGUGCUGCCAUGUCUGUCACAUUAACAGCUGUGAAGAGGGUUCAGAGUUCUCCAAACCUAUUGGCCUCAGGUAUAACCCGCUAACCCAGGGAAAUGCUCCUCCUCCCGCCUGCCUUCUCUCUAGCCUUACACCUUCCUGCAAUGUUGCUCCCCAAGGAGGACGAGGGUAACCCUAUUUUCUAGCCCACUGACAGGUCUGUUACUUCUACAAUGCUCUUUAAAAACCAAUCUUAAUUUCUCUCUGCCUGUGCUUAGUAGCUGUUAAUGAAAAAAAAAAAAAAAAGAGAUAUAAUGCUCUUUAAAAACCAAUCUUAAUCUCUGCCUGUGCUUAGUAGCCAUUAAUGGAAAAAAAAAAUUAAGGAGACAGGAAAAAUCAGUUAUUUAUAAAUUUAUUUUAUCUUUGCUAUGUAUUUUGGGUCUCAUCUCCACUGUUUUAUUUCAGGAUAACAUAGCAUGAAAAAUAGCCUUUUUUAAUCUCAAACUUUGUUUACUGCAACUGGCUUUCCUUUGCUAUAUAUUUUGGGUCUCCACUGUUUUAUUUCAAGAUAACAUAGCAUGAAAAAUAGCCUUUGUUUAUCUCAAACUUUGUUUACUGCAACUGGCUUUAAAAGCUCAU
rnacentral:lncRNA from 1 species